AAAGAUCCCAGCAUAACUGGGCAGUCAUGGAGACAAGUGACAUAUGGAAUGCUAACCAUAGGUCCACAUCGUUGCACUUACAGAUUUCUGGUAUGUAAGAAACUCCCAAGAUGACCUUGGAAGCUACAUGGCAAAGCAACUGCCAGACUAAAUCCCUGAAUGACAGCAUGGAGCAUACAGCAUCUUAUUUCCAAGACGACCACCAUCAAUUCCCUCCCUACCCAUAUGUACAUGCCAUUCCCCACUAAGAAAUAGAGUUUAUUCCUCCAUUCCUUUGAAAUCUAGGCUAACCUUAUUGACUUGAUUGUUCAGUAGAAUGAAGGGUCAUUCUGUGAUUGCCUUGAACUCCCAUUGAGGGCUCUUGGAGCCUAGGCACCAUAUUGUUAGGAAGCCUAAGGAGUCUUGUAGAGAGGCCCCUAAAAACAAGUGUCAACUUGCCAGCCAUAUGCGUAAAUUUUCCUGGAAGGCUAUACUCCAGGCCUAGUUGAGCUUCCCCAGCUGAUAUCAUGCAGAGUAGAGAGGAACUGCCUAGCAGAGCCUUUCCUAAAUUUUGAAUUUUACGGCAGAAUAAUAUUCCACUGCAUGUAUAUACCACAGUUUCUUUACCCAUUUGUCAGUGGACACUUAGGCUGUUUCCAUGUCUUGGCUGUUAUGAAUAAUGCUGCAAUGAAUAUUGAAGUGCAGAUAUCUCUUUGAGAUACUACUAUCAUUUCUUUGGAUAUAUACCCAGAUGUGGAAUUGUGGGAUUAUAUGGUAGUACUAUUUGUAAUUUUUUGAGGAACCUCCAUACUUAGGUUUUUCCAUAGUGGCUGUACCAAUUUACAUUCCCACCAACAGCAUACAAUGGAUUCCUUUUCUCCAUAUUCUCAUCAGCUUGUUAUCUCUUGUCUUUUUGGUAAUAGCCAUCCUAACAGGUGUGAGGUGAUAUCUCAUUGUUUUGAUUUGCAUUUCCCUGAUGAUUAGUGAUGUUGAGCACCUUUUCAUUUGCCUGUUAGCCAUUUCUUUGUCUUCUUCAAAAAAUGUUUUUCAGUUCCUUUUCUCAUGUUAAAAAUUGGGUUAUCUUUUUUUUUUGCUAUUGAAUUGUAUGCGUUAUUUGUAUAUUUUGGAUAUCACCCCUUAUUGGAUAUGUAGUUUGAAAAUAUUUUCUCCCAUUUCAUAGGUUGCCUUUUCACUUUGUUGAUUAUUCCAUUUGCUGUGCAGAGGCUUUUUGGUUUGAUAUAGUUCCACUUGUUUAUUUUUCCUUUUGUUGGCUAUGCUUUUUGGUGUCAUAUCCAAAAAAUCAUUGCCAAGACCAAUGUCAAGGAGCUUUUUCCCUACUUUUUUUGCUUUUGUUUUUGUUUUGUAGAAGUUUUAUUGUUCACAUCUUACAUUUAGGUCUUUAAUCCAUUUUGAGUUAAUUUUUGUGUAUGGUUUAAGAUAAGCGUUCGUAGCAUAGACAUAUAUAUACUACCAACUGUAAAAUAGAUAGCUAGUGGGAAGUUGCUGUAUAACAAAGGGAGAUCAACUCGAUGAUGAGUGAU